CUUCCUGCAUUACAAAGAUCAUAUAAUUACAACGCUGCCCGUUUAAAGUCAACGUACAGAACUAAUUAAAAAGUAUGGUGCAUCGCCCUGAUAAAAACAGAGGCACUUCCCCAGAGUUGGCAAAAAAAUUGCAAAAAAAGAGCAUGAGCUACAAACAGUAUGCUGCCAACAGUGACCUGGGAAGAUCAAACAAAAAGGUAUGGGAGAACCAUGUGGAACAGGGCCAGGGAGCCAUAAGUAGGAUCUGCCAAAUGUUGUCGCAUUAAAACUACUUCUUGACAUUCAGAUGUGAUGUUGCCAAUGUUGAUGCUGUCACUUUUGUCUACUGCUCUGCUCACAGUGUUUUGCAUACAUUAACUAUGGAGAAAAUCACUCAUAAAAUAGAAGACUGAACAGCAUUUUGAACCGGAGCACAAAUGGGAUGGGUGGAUAACAAAAUUGGAAUUUAUAGGACAAGGGUGCCAUGCCCACUCUGUUCAGGAAAUAUAAAAUGAUUUUUCUAAUAUAAUAAUAGUGUUUUUAAACACUAACUAAUAAUAUAAUAUUAUAAUUAUAAUAAAAUAAAUAUUAAUAUUACUAAUUUUAAAAAACAAAAAUUAUAAAAAUAUAAAAUUCGAGAACUUUCCCUAUACAGGUCAGCACCAAGAUGAGUUCAAUUUCAGUGCUGGUCAGCCUCUUUUGGUUUCAAAUUGGACAAGUAUGUGAGCAACUCCUAAGGUUCAUUCUGACGGACAGUGAAUUUGAUGAGAAUUCGGGAGAAAUGCUGCGUGUGAGUGCUAGAACAAAAAUCCCAGUUGCUCAAAAAAGUUAACACACCAAACUGUAGGAUUUUCUGAUCAAUUUUCCUAUCUACAGUGCAAUUUAUUAUCCUAUUUCCAGCACUAGCAUAAACUAGAUCCAUUCUAGAGACAGCUGCUAAUCUUCAAGGUUUGUAUUAGUGUUUUUACAGGCUGUUGUCCGCCAUUUUCACCCAUCUGGGCACUUCCAACUGCGAGCACUGAGAAUUUAUUGCUGAUUCAAUAACUCCAGGCACUCAGAAGUGUGACAACCUGCAGAAUUGAUCCAUUCUUGCUAGUGUAACACUUCGAGGGCAGAAUUCCCUCAUUUCCUGGCAGCAUACAGCGACCUACUCUCAAGAUCUGAAGAAUUGUUUGUUGUUUGUUUUUUACUCUGCAUGUGUGGGAUAAACACUAAGGCUGCAAACUGUUGAGGACAGAGAAUCUGAAUUGAGGGCUAUCAUCCAACCUGAGGAUAAGCAAAUCAGCCAGAGAUCUCAAUCGUCUUGAAUCCUGAUGAUGGAUCCUGGAGUGUGACUGGAAACGUUGAUGCAAAAACUAGCACACAAUCUAAUCCAAAAGCAAUUGUUCUAAUUUCUAUGUUAUCGGGUACAGCAUCAAGAGCCCAAAUGUGGGUCCGGGUUUGAGCAGGGUCUGGGUCUGGUCCCAGUGCAGCUCUGGGUUCGCUGCAGGUUCCAAUCAGCAGUGAUGACGGUUGGCACUUGGCAAUCAACAAAGUUGUGGCUCCUCCUCAUACACCACAUCAAUUGCUUUUGCCAUUGUAUUAUAUGCAAGUUCUACUGUUAUUAUUAAUUAUUAUACACUUUUUUCAA